UACGUAGGGUGCAAGCGUUGUCCGGAAUUAUUGGGCGUAAAGAGCUCGUAGGCGGUUGUUGCGUCGGCUGUGAAAUCCCGAGGCUCAACCUCGGGUCUGCAGUCGAUACGAGCAAACUAGAGUGUUGCAGGGGAGACUGGAAUUCCUGGUGUAGCGGUGAAAUGCGCAGAUAUCAGGAGGAACACCGGUGGCGAAGGCGGGUCUCUGGGCAACAACUGACGCUGGAGAAAGCGAAAGCGUGGGUAGCAAACAGG
rnacentral:rRNA from 1 species